UGUCCAUGGCCGAGAGGGAAAGAACCCAGACCAUCAGCUAAGGUCCCCAAAUGUAUGUUAAGUUGAUCUAACGUGGUCCGAUUGCUUUGACAGCUAGGAUGUUGGCUUGGAAGCAGCCAUUCAUUUAAAGAGUGCGUAACAGCUCACUAGUCGAGCGAUCGGGCGUGGAUAAUAAUCGGGCAUCAAACAUACUACCGAAGCUAUGGCAGCAGUAAUGCUGGGUAGGGGAGCAUUCCAGUUGCAGUGAAGGUGUGGCGUAAGCCAUGCUGGAGCGUCUGGAAAAGCAAAUGUAGUUAUAAGUAACGAUUAUGCGGGCGAGAAACCCGCACGCCAAUAGACUAAGGUUUCCUGAUCAACGCUAAUCGGAUCAGGGUCAGUCGGGUCCUAAGGAAAAGCCGAAAGGCGUAUUCGAUGGACAACAGGUUAAUAUUCCUGUACUAGCAAUAAUUGCGAUGGAGUGACGGAGUAGUGAAAGGUCUGCGCACGGACGGAUGUGUGCGUUGAAAGGUGUAGAUAUACCUGGGGCAGUUAAAUGCGUUCCGGGUGUCGAACCCAAUAGUACCACGGAGGUUCGCCAAAGUGGAUAUGACCCUAAUCAAACUCCCAAGAAAAACUUCUAAGCUUCAGAUUAUUGCUACCCGUACCGCAAACCGACACAGGUAGUCAAGUAGAAUAUACUAAGGCGCUCGAGUGAAUCAUGGCUAAGGAACUCGGCAAAUUAACCCUGUAACUUCGGGAAAAAGGGUGCCCAUAGCAAUAUGGGCCGCAGUGAAAUAGCGGUGGCGACUGUUUAUCAAAAACACAUGGCUUUGCAAAAUCGAAAGAUGAAGUAUAAGGCCUGACACCUGCCCAAUGCUGGAAGGUUAAGAGGAGAGGUUAGUAGUAAUACAAAGCUUUGAAUCGAAGCCCCAGUGAAUGGCGGCCGUAACUAUAACGGUCCUAAGGUAGCGAAAUUCCUUGUCGGGUAAGUUCCGACCUGCACGAAUGGUGUAACGAUCUCCGCUCUGUCUCAGCCAUGAGCUCGGUGAAAUUGUAGUAUCGGUGAAGAUGCCGAUUACCCGCAACGGGACGGAAAGACCCCGUGCACCUUUACUAUAGCUUAACAUUGACUUUGGAUAACUAAUGUGUAGGAUAGGUGGGAGACUUUGAAGCAGUGGCGCCAGCCAUUGUGGAGUCGUCCUUGAAAUACCACCCUUUGGUUAUUUGAAUUCUAAUCCCUCAAAAGGGGAGACAUUGUUUGGUGGGUAGUUUGACUGGGGUGGUCGCCUCCAAAAUUGUAUCGGAGGCUUUCAAAGGUACCCCCU
rnacentral:rRNA from 1 species